rnacentral:misc_RNA from 1 species
GAAAUAUUUCCUGAUGAAAACAGGGAAUUCCCUUCAAGUUUUACCACCAGUGCAGCUGCCUGUUUGAUAUGAAGGUCCUCUUUAGGCAUAUUUUUCUCCCAUUUUAGUCUCUGUUUGGAAUUCAGUAGUUCUUCAACUUCUUCUUUCACAUGGCUAUUGAUUUGAGUACGACCUGUCCCUUGUGAUUCAAUACAUUCUUGUAGAACAUUGACAAUAGAGUCUCCUAGCUUCUUAUGAUCCCCAAGGGAUGAUAUCCCCG